AUUGAACGCUGGCGGCAUGCCUUACACAUGCAAGUCGAACGGCAGCACGGGAGCAAUCCUGGUGGCGAGUGGCGAACGGGUGAGUAAAGUAUCGGAACGUGCCCAGUCGUGGGGGAUAACGUAGCGAAAGUUACGCUAAUACCGCAUACGAUCUAUGGAUGAAAGCGGGGGAUCGCAAGACCUCGCGCGAUUGGAGCGGCCGAUAUCAGAUUAGGUAGUUGGUGGGGUAAAGGCUCACCAAGCCGACGAUCUGUAGCUGGUCUGAGAGGACGACCAGCCAAACUGGGACUGAGACACGGCCCAGACUCCUACGGGAGGCAGCAGUGGGGAAUUUUGGACAAUGGGCGCAAGCCUGAUCCAGCCAUGCCGCGUGCAGGAUGAAGGCCUUCGGGUUGUAAACUGCUUUUGUACGGAACGAAAAGGUUUGACUUAAUACGUUGGACUCAUGACGGUACCGUAAGAAUAAGCACCGGCUAACUACGUGCCAGCCGCCGCCGUAACAC
rnacentral:rRNA from 1 species